rnacentral:rRNA from 1 species
UAGGGAAUCUUCGGCAAUGGACGAAAGUCUGACCGAGCAACGCCGCGUGAGUGAAGAAGGUUUUCGGAUCGUAAAACUCUGUUGUUAGAGAAGAACAAGGAUGAGAGUAGAAUGUUCAUCCCUUGACGGUAUCUAACCAGAAAGCCACGGCUAACUACGUGCCAGCAGCCGCGGUAAUACGUAGGUGGCAAGCGUUGUCCGGAUUUAUUGGGCGUAAAGCGAGCGCAGGCGGUUUCUUAAGUCUGAUGUGAAAGCCCCCGGCUCAACCGGGGAGGGUCAUUGGAAACUGGGAGACUUGAGUGCAGAAGAGGAGAGUGGAAUUCCAUGUGUAGCGGUGAAAUGCGUAGAUAUAUGGAGGAACACCAGUGGCGAAGGCGGCUCUCUGGUCUGUAACUGACGCUGAGGCUCGAAAGCGUGGGGAGCGAACA